GACCUGAAAGAUGGUGAAGUGUGCCUGUGCAGGGCGAAGCAAAAGAAAACUCUGCUGGAGGCUCGUAGCGAUACUGACGUGCAAAUCAUUCGUCAAAAUUGGGUAUACGGGCAAAAGACUAAUCGAACCAUGUACUAGCUGG
rnacentral:ncRNA from 1 species